rnacentral:rRNA from 1 species
CGACCUGACAUAACUACGCCGUCUGGAGGAUGGCUCGGCUUGAGAGCUGAUGAAGGGCGCGGCAAGCCGCGAUACUGCCCCGGGUAGGCGCACGCAGCCUUAGAUCCGGGGAUACCCGAAUGGGACUUCCUACUGUGGCUCUUCGGAGUCAUAGUGCUCCUUUAUGGAGUAGGGACCCCCCGAACGGAAGCAUCUUAGUAGGGGGAGGAAAAGAAACCAACAUGGGAUUCCCUUAGUAGCAGCGAGCGAAAUGGGAAUAGUCCAAACCGAAUCCCAUUAGGAAACUUUUGGGAGAUGUAGUGUUUAGGGCCUAGCUUCCUCUUCGUUAGUUAAGUUGAAGUGGUCUGAAAUGACCCGCCAUAGAGGGUGAUAGCCCCUUAAACGUACGCUAGAAAGAGUUGAGCCAGAGUCCCAGAGUACCGUACCCUGGUUUGGGUGCGGAAAUUCGGAAGUCACCAACUUCCAAGACUAAAUACAUCUCAAGACCGAUAGCGCACUAGUACGGUGACGGAAAACUGAAAAGUACCCCGGAAUGGGGGUGAAAAGUGCCUGAAACCAGACGGUUACAGACGUGUGCAGCCUGAAAGAGUAGAGUCUUUUCGAAGGAAACCACUGUGAAGUGGCUGUACGAGAGAAGAGGAUCAGGGUUGCAUAUUCCGUCUCGAAACACGGACCGGGGAGUUUGCAGUUGUGGCGAGCCUAAGGGCCUGAAAACCCGUAAGCAUAGGGAAACCAAUAUGCGCGCAAUUACUGUAAGGUAACCAGGCGCAAGGUCUGAAAGGGCCUGGAGUCACAGCUGUGCAUACUAGAAACCAGACGAUCUAUCCCUGGGCAGGAUGAAGCUGGGCGAAAGCCCAGUGGAGGUCCGCAAGGGUGCUGACGUGCAAUUCGUUCCCCAGACCUGGGGAUAGGGGCUAAAGACCAAUCUAGUCUGGUGAUAGCUAGUUCCUUCCGAAGUGGGCCUGAGCCCAGUCUUGAGCGAGGUUGCUGGUGGGGUAGGGCACUGAUUGGAAAGUAAGGGGCAGAAAUGCCCUCCUUUUCUCUCAAACUACGAAUCCACCCGCGCCGUAGACCUCAGGAAACGGGUUACAGGGGGUAAGCUCCUGUACCGAGAGGGGGACAACCCAGACUGAGGUUAAGGUCCCCAAGUGCUGGCUAAAUGUCAAACAAAAGGGCGUCGUUAGCCUCAGACAGCGGGGAGGUAGGCUCAGAAGCAGCCAUCCUUUAAUGAAAGCGUAACAGCUCACCCGUCGAGGCUAACGGCCCCGAAAAUGGACGGGGCUAAGCCAGCCACCGAUACCUCAGAACGCAACUUCGUGUUGCGAUGGUAGGAAGGCGUCCUGGCUGGGCAGAAGCUGGGCCGUGAGGUCCAGUGGACCGGUUAGGAUUGCAGAUCCCGGUGGUAGUAACAGCAAAGAGAAGUGAGAAUCUUCUCCGCCGAAAGGGCAAGGGUUCCCCGGCAACGGUCGUCAGCCGGGGGUAAGUCGGUCCUAAGACAUGACUCAACCGAUCAUGUCGAACAAGGGAAUCCGGUUAAAAUUCCGGAACCAUAGAGGUACACGCGGUAACGCAAAGAUUAGUGCUAACGCUUCUGGGUAAGUUAUGCAAGGCUGUCGCCUUGUUUAACCGUAUAAACCUGGGGAGUGCCGUAAUGGCGAGAACCAGGCGAAAUCGGGAAUAGCCACCCGUUUUAGGGAGGUUUAGCUGAGCUCUGGAGCCAGUGAAAAACGCACUAGUAAGGAUCCUCUGUGACCGUACCCAGAACCGACACAGGUGUCCCUGGGCGAGAAACCUAAGGCGUGUCGGGUAUACACUAAUGCGAGGGAACUCGGCAAAUUAGCCCCGUACCUUUGGUAUAAGGGGUGCCUGCUUUUUCAAUCUUUGAUUGUGAGGGCAGGUCGCAGUGGCAAAGGGGUCUCGACUGUUUAAUAAAAACAUAGGAAGCCGCAAGAGCGAAAGCUUGUGAACGGCUUCUGAAUCCUGGCCAGUACAGGUACCUCAAACCCGGGUCCAACUGGGCUAAGGGCCUGCAAACGCCGGGAGUAACUCUGACUCUCUCAAGGUAGCCAAAUGCCUUGUCGGGUAAGUUCCGACGUGCAUGAAUGGAUCAACGAAGGCCCCACUGUCCCCGCGUAGUACCCGGUGAACCCACAUGACGUGGACGAACAGUCCACGAUCUCCCAGCGGGAAAAGAAGUCCCUGUGGAGUUUUACUGCAGCCUGCCGCUGUAAUACGGUUGUGGAUGCAGAGCGUAGUCGGGAGCUGUUAAUCUUGGUUUCUCCGGGAACCAGGGGAGGCGAAAAUGGAACACCGACUCUUUAUAAUCGUCUUUCUUACCAGCGCCUCGAGCGUUGGAACAACGGUAGGUGGGCAGUUCGGCUGGGGCGGCACGCCUUCGAAAAAAUAUCGAAGGCGCCCUAAGGUUGGCUCAGGCGGGACAGAAACCCGCCGUAGAGUGCAAGGGCAAAAGCCAGCCUGACUGGAUCCUUAUCAAUAAGGGAUCCAGAGGCGAAAGCCGGGCUUAGCGAUCAUCUAUGUCCCCUUUGGUGGGGGCUAGAUGCGUCAGAAAAAUUACCCUAGGGAUAACAGGCUUGUCGCGGGCGAGAGUCCCCAUCGACCCCGCGGCUUGGUACCUCGANNNNNNNNNNNNNNNNNNNNNNNNNNNNNNNNNNNNNNNNNNNNNNNNNNNNNNNNNNNNNNNNNNNNNNNNNNNNNNNNNNNNNNNNNNNNNNNNNUGCGUCAGAAAAAUUACCCUAGGGAUAACAGGCUUGUCGCGGGCGAGAGUCCCCAUCGACCCCGCGGCUUGGUACCUCGAUGUCGGCUCUUCCUAUCCUGGCCCUGCAUAAGGGGCCAAGGGUGAGGCUGCUCGCCUAUUAAAAGGGAACGUGAGCUGGGUUUAGACCGUCGUGAGACAGGUCGGACUUUAUCUGCUGGGAGUGUAGGCUGCCUGAGGGGAAAGGGUCCCCAGUACGAGAGGAACGGGACGCUGUGGCCUCUAGUUAACCGGUUGUCUGACAAGGCAGUUGCCGGGCAGCCACGCCGCUGAAGAUAAGAGCUGAAAGCAUCUAAGCUCGAAGCUUCUCCCGAAAAGAGGCAGCCAUUCCCGUUUUACGGGACAAAGGCUCCCAUAAAAGAUGGGUUUAAUGGAACCGGGGUGUACGCUGGAAGAUUUCGAUCGACCAGUUUAGCCCGCGGUCCCCAAUCGCUUAAGGUGUCAGAUUA